UCGAAAGUUUACGUAUGUUCAGAUGCAGAUCUUGGCGAAGUUCUAUCGCGUUUUUGCGUGAGGUUACGUAAGAGUUACGUAACGCCGGUUAAAAGAACCCGAAUGUGAUUACGACAAGAUCCUCCAUAAACUGAACUGAUGGUAGUUAAAACAGAGAAUAUUGUCGAGGAGCAAAUGGAAAAUCUGGAAAUAAUUAUAGUAAUAAAAAAGCAGGACAUGGAAGGGA